GAGAAAAUAGCUUAAUGGUAGAGAAUACCCUUGCCAAGGCUGAGGUUGAGGGUUCAAGUCCCUCCUUUCACU
rnacentral:tRNA from 1 species